rnacentral:rRNA from 1 species
CGGUUGAUCCUGCCGGAGGCCACUGCUAUCAGCGUCCGACUAAGCCAUGCGAGUCGUGGGCACCCCCUCAAGGGGGAGACCCGGCGGACGGCUCAGUAACACGUGGCUAACCUACCCUCGGGUCCGGGAUAACCCCGGGAAACUGGGGAUAAUACCGGAUAGGCCUCUGAUACCUGGAAUGGGCGGAGGCUGAAAGCCGAGAGGCGCCCGAGGAUGGGGCUGCGGCCGAUUAGGUAGUUGUCGGUUUAACGGACCGACAAGCCUACGAUCGGUACGGGCCGUGAGAGCGGGAGCCCGGAGAUGGGCUCUGAGACAAGAGCCCAGGCCCUACGGGGCGCAGCAGGCGCGAAACCUUCACAAUGCCCGAAAGGGCGAUGAGGGGACGCUGAGUGCCCUUCGGGGCUGUUCGGGUGCCUAAAAAGCACCCGGAGUAAGGGCUGGGUAAGACCGGUGCCAGCCGCCGCGGUAAUACCGGCAGCCCGAGUGGUGGCCGCGUUUAUUGGGCCUAAAGGGUCCGUAGCCGGUCGGGUAAGUUCUUCGGGAAACCUCGCCGCUCAACGGUGAGGCUUCCGGGGAAUACUGCCCGACUUGGGACCGGGAUGGGCCGGAGGUACUCCCGGGGUAGGGGUGAAAU